AAGGAGGAGAGAAAAUCCGAAAGUGGGGAGGUGGAGGUGGGGGCAAGAGAAAGAGAGAAGGAGAAAAAAUCAGUGCGAAGUUGAGGGUGUGGUGCUGCAGCGUUGCAGUAAGAGGGAAAGGAGAUUAAGGUUUUAAAAAAAAGUAAAAGUUAGGUUUAAACCCUAUUUUGGUCCCUAAGUUAAGUUCUGAUGUUCAGUUUAGUCCUCGUUUUUAAAAAUGUCAACCUUUAGUCCCUAUGAUAUGAAAAAUGUAUCAAUGCAGUCCUAUUCGUUAACAAAUCACAAGUUUUUCAUUAAGUGAUUUGUUGUUCAUAACACCUCCCGUUAAUAAAUCACAAAAUAUUGGAUUCCUAGGUAUGAAAACUUGUGAUUUAUUGUUCAUUAAGUGAUGUCAUGAGGAUUGAUUUGAUAUAUUUUUCAUAUCAUAGGGACUAAAGGUUGACAUUUUUAAAAGCGGGAACUAAACUGAACAUCAGAACUUAACUUGAGGACCAAAAAAGGGUUUAAACCUAAAGUUAAAAGGUAAGAGUAAAAUCAUUUUUAUCAAAGGCCAUUUUAGUAAAAUAGAAAAUUUUGAGGAGGUAAAGGAAGAAAUUGGAGGGGUGUAGGGAGAAACAAAACUUUAGCCCAAUCCUUAUUGAUUCUCACUCAGACCAAAGAUUCCAAACAAAACUUUAGCCCAAACUAUUUAAACCUUUCUGCUCUUUGCACCCCUCUUUUAAUCCAUAUAUCAUACACAAAAAGAAUAAGAGAAUC
rnacentral:lncRNA from 1 species